UACGUAGGGAGCAAGCGUUGUCCGGAAUCAUUGGGCGUAAAGCGCGCGUAGGUGGCCUCAUAAGUCCGCUGUGAAAGUCAAAGGCUCAACCUUUGAAAGCCGGUGGAUACUGUGAGGCUAGAGUACGGAAGAGGCGAGUGGAAUUCCUGGUGUAGCGGUGGAAUGCGCAGAUAUCAGGAGGAACACCAAUAGCGAAGGCAGCUCGCUGGGGACGUUUACUGACACUGAGGCGCGAAAGCGUGGGGGAGCGAACAGG
rnacentral:rRNA from 1 species